GACGAACCGAGCGAACGUUGUUCGGAAUCACUGGGCUUAAAGGGCGCGUAGGCGGGCUGCCGCGUCCGGGGUGAAAUCCUCCCGCUCCACGGGAGAACGGCCUCGGAUACGGGCGGCCUCGAGGGGGGUAGGGGCGUGCGGAACUGUGGGUGGAGCGGUGAAAUGCGUUGAGAUCCACAGGAACUCCGGUGGCGAAGGCGGCACGCUGGACCCCAUCUGACGCUGAGGCGCGAAAGCCAGGGGAGCCGGAACGGG
rnacentral:rRNA from 1 species